UCCACCCCGUGUGCCUCACUCGCUCUUUUGU
rnacentral:piRNA from 1 species